AGAACGAACGCUGGCGGCAGGCUUAACACAUGCAAGUCGAACGCAUCGCAAGAUGAGUGGCAGACGGGUGAGUAACGCGUGGGAAUCUACCCAAUUCUUCGGAACAACUGAGGGAAACUUCAGCUAAUACCGGAUGUGCCCUUCGGGGGAAAGAUUUAUCGGAAUUGGAUGAGCCCGCGUUGGAUUAGCUAGUUGGUGGGGUAAAGGCCUACCAAGGCGACGAUCCAUAGCUGGUCUGAGAGGAUGAUCAGCCACACUGGGACUGAGACACGGCCCAGACUCCUACGGGAGGCAGCAGUGGGGAAUAUUGGACAAUGGGCGCAAGCCUGAUCCAGCCAUGCCGCGUGUGUGAUGAAGGUCUUAGGAUUGUAAAGCACUUUCACCGGAGAAGAUAAUGACGGUAUCCGGAGAAGAAGCCCGGCUAACUUCGUGCCAGCAGCCGC
rnacentral:rRNA from 1 species